AGGGGUAUAGCGCAGCUUGGUAGCGCCUUUGCUUUGAGGAAAGGAAAUGUCACGGGUUCAAAUCCUGUCAUCCCUA
rnacentral:tRNA from 1 species